rnacentral:lncRNA from 1 species
CAUAGGGGUCCACGUCCUCCAUUGAGGGUCUCCCAUUGGUGGUCCCAUACACGGACACGUCCCCUGGGGGGGUCCGGGUCCCAUGGGUGGGGGGGGGUUCUGUGGGGGUCCCAUGGGUGCCCUCAUCCUUUGGGGAGGGGUCCCCAUACGCAGGGAUGGGGUGGGCUGGGAUCCCAAAGGCGGCUGUGCUCCCCAAUGGGGUUCUCCCAUGGGGGGGUUGGGUUGGGGGGGUCCCAUGGGUGGGGGGGGGUUGGGUCGGGGGGGUCCCAUGGGUGCUCUCAUCCUUUGGGGAGGGGUCCCCAUUCGCAGGGCUGGAUUGGGCUGGGAUCCCAUUGAUGGCUGCGCCCUCCAUUGAGCUUCUCCCAUGGGUGGGGGUGGGUUCAGGUGGGGGGAUCCCAUGGGCGGCCGCAUCCUCUGGGGGGGUGCUGCCAUCCGUGGGGCUGGAUUUGGGUGCGUUGACCCCAUAGGAGCUGCUGGCCCCAUAGGAGCUGCUGGCCCCAUAGGAGCUGCUGACCCCAUAGGAGCUGCUGACCCCAUAGGAGCUGAUCCUAUGGGUGCUGGCAUCCUUUGUGUAGGCUGUGCCAUCCGUGGGGCUGGAUUCACUUGGGGUUGCUGCAUCCUUAGGCGAGGUUCUGCCAUCCGUGGGGCUGGAUUCGGACGUGCUGACCCCAUAGGAGCUGACCCCAUAGGAGCUGCUGACCCCAUAGGAGCUGACCCCAUAGGAGCUGCUGACCCCAUAGGAGCUGCUGACCCCAUAGGAGCUGACCCCAUAGGAGCUGGCAUCCUUUGUGCAGGCUGUGCCAUCCGUGGGGCUGGACUGGGGUGUGCUGACCCCACA